rnacentral:rRNA from 1 species
CCUACGGGAGGCAGCAGUGAGGAAUAUUGGUCAAUGGGCGCGAGCCUGAACCAGCCAAGUAGCGUGAAGGAUGACUGCCCUACGGGUUGUAAACUUCUUUUAUAAAGGAAUAAAGUGAGGCACGUGUGCCUUUUUGUAUGUACUUUAUGAAUAAGGAUCGGCUAACUCCGUGCCAUCAGCCGCGGUAAUACGGAGGAUCCGAGCGUUAUCCGGAUUUAUUGGGUUUAAAGGGAGCGUAGAUGGGUUGUUAAGUCAGUUGUGAAAGUUUGCGGCUCAACCGUAAAAUUGCAAUUGAUACUGGCAGUCUUGAGUACAGUUGAGGUAGGCAGAAUUCGUGGUGUAGCGGUGAAAUGCUUAGAUAUCACGAAGAACUCCGAUUGCGAAGGCAGCUUACUAAACUGCCACUGACAUUGAUGCUCGAAAGUGUGGGUAUCAAACAGGAUUAGAUACCCGAGUAGUC